rnacentral:rRNA from 1 species
GACAGAGGUGGCAAGCGUUGUUCGGAAUCACUGGGCAUAAAGGGCGCGUAGGUGGUCAAGCAGGUCAGAGGUGAAAUCCCCCGGCUCAACCGGGGAAUUGCCUUUGAAACCACUUGGCUGGAGCAGAAGAGGGGAGAGUGGAACUCGUGGUGGAGCGGUGAAAUGCGUAGAUAUCACGAGGAACGCCGGCGGCGAAAGCGACUCUCUGGCUUCUUGCUGACGCUGAGGCGCGAAAGCUAGGGGAG